rnacentral:ncRNA from 1 species
AAUGUGUUGUUUAGUCGCUUUGCAUUAUAAAUGAUAUGGGACUUUUUUUCUACAACAAAAUAGACUAUAUAAUAUCCAUAAGGGAUUUACCCACUACAAAUAUUAUAUAGC